rnacentral:rRNA from 1 species
AUUGAACGCUGGCGGCAGGCCUAACACAUGCAAGUCGAGCGGAUGAAGGGAGCUUUCUCCUGGAUUCAGCGGCGGACGGGUGAGUAAUGCCUAGGAAUCUGCCUGGUAGUUGGGGAUAACGUCCGUACACGGGCGCUAAUACCGCAUACGUCCUGAGGGAGAAAGUGGGGGAUCUUCGGACCUCACGCUAUCAGAUGAGCCUAGGUCGGAUUAGCUAGUUGGUGGGGUAAAGGCCUACCAAGGCGACGAUCCGUAACUGGUCUGAGAGGAUGAUCAGUCACACUGGAACUGAGACACGGUCCAGACUCCUACGGGAGGCAGCAGUGGGGAAUAUUGGACAAUGGGCGAAAGCCUGAUCCAGCCAUGCCGCGUGUGUGAAGAAGGUCUUCGGAUUGUAAAGCACUUUAAGUUGGGAGGAAGGGCAGUAAGUUAAUACCUUGCUGUUUUGACGUUACCAACAGAAUAAGCACCGGCUAACUUCGUG